rnacentral:lncRNA from 13 species
GGAUUAGAUCCAAGGAGAGCCUCAGCCAGGCAGAGAUGUUACGCACCGUGACUUGUGUCAUCUGUUCAGUACCUGAGAGAGCACACCCAGAAGACCUGGACACAUUUCAAUGGACACCCCUUACAAGUGGUGUAAAUCUCACCACCAUUGGACUCUGGAGCAGUGGAAACACGCUCUCUGGAGUGAUGAAUCACUCUUCACCGUCUGGCAGUCGGACGGAUAAAUCUGGUUUGGCGGAUACCAGUAAAAUGCUACCUGCCCGACAGCAUAUUGCAAACUGUAAAGUUUGGCGGAGGGAGAAUAAUGAUCUGGGGCUGUUUUUCAUGGUUUGGGCUAGGCCCCUUAGUUCCAGUGAAGGGAAAUCUUAACGCUACAGCAUGCAAUGACAUUCUAGACAAUUCUGUGCUUCCAACUUUGUAGCAACAUUUUGGGGAAGGCCCUUUCCUGUAACAGCAUGACAAUGCCCCUGUGCACAAAGCGAGGUCCAUACAGAAAUGGUUUGUCAAGAUCGAUGUGGAAGAACUUGACUGACCUGCACAGAGCUCUGACCUCAACCCCAUCGAACUCCUUUGGGAUGAAUUGAAACGCCGACUGCGAGCCAGGCCUAAUCGCCCAACAUCAGUGCCCGACCUCACUAAUGCUCUUGUGGCUGAAUGGAAGCAAGUCCCUGUUAUGGCUGUUAUGGCACCAAAGGGUGGACCAACUCCAUAUUAAUCCCCAAGAUUUUCGAAUGAGCUGUUCGAUGAGCAGGUGUCCAUAUACUUUUGGUCAUGUAAUGUAUCAUCAUGUGAUAUCCUCUUAUACCGAGUGACACAUCUGUGUGCUGGUGUGUGAAAUGAACUGUUACAGGUUUUGGAUCUUAAUUUGACCUGUAUUGUCACAGCAAAAUAAUCCUGUAGCAACAGGAUUUGAACGUUUACUCCAUAAUGUUACUUGAUCAGUGGUUAGGCUAUUAGCUGGUCAAAAUGAGGCUACAUGAAAAGUGGAUUACUGUUAAUAUAACUCUGUUUAGUGUGGAUUUACAGUGAAUUUAUGCAAAUCACAAAGCUCAUCUGCUCUUCCUGCAGCACAGCAAACAUUCUCGGCAACAAAAGAGUGAUCAAAUUAAGAUCCACAUCUGUAUACUUCCACUAACCCAACCAAGAAAAUAAUUUCACAUUGAUUGAUAGAGCUUUGCCACUCCCUGCGCUGCAUCUCAUUCUUUACCCGUUGCAACAUCAAACUUGUCCACAUCCACAUUUUUACAGAAAUUGUUUGUAGCAUAAUGAAUUGAUAUAGCUUUCAAUUAGAUCAUUCUAAAAACUGUGUGCUAUGUAAGAGAGGACACUUCAUCAUAAAUGGUCCUGAUCAUGAAGUGAAUUAAUGUGAGUGAGAACCUUCCAAGCCUGAUUUAGACUGUCCAACAACAAACUGAUCUGUAAAAGAAUACAACGUGUGCAUCACGCUGUGGUUUGAAACAGUGGUCAAGGAGUGGUCCACUCUGGUCAAUAUGUCCUCGAUGUCUAAGGUAACCGGUCAACUGCACCCAAGGGGUUGACUAGAGGGUGUGAACCAGCACCACACACACACACACAAUUUAUGAGGGGCUCAGAGGGGUUGGCCAGACAGCAGACCUUUAAUCCUCAGGAUUAUCAGUUGAAUCAAGAGAUGCUGGGGACAAUUAGGCACAAUUAGUUACUGCUGCCACCUACACUGUGAUGACAAGAUUUUCAACUUGUUGUUUUUAUACAAAUGAUGUGUAUGUAAACAAAGGACAAAAAGCAUCAUAAAAAAAGAGGUCAAAUGAGAAAAGACAGAAUGCUCUUAAAUGUAUUGCAAGAAUUCUUUAUUCUAUUUACAUGUGUUUAUUUACAGCAACAUAAUCCAUCUCUCUCUCUUAGACUUUUGACCUCUAAAUGAAUGUCCUGAUUUCUAAAUCAGUAUGAUUAAAAAAGAAAAUAAAAGGAGCCUAAAUAACAAAGUACCAAAAAGAACAGGAGCGAAUAACAGGUUUAACUUUUGAUACAACAGGAGCAAGUUGAUUUAGAAUAUGGGAAAAAAAUAAAUACUAUUGACAAGUAGCAUUCUAUCGACUACAAGUAAUUCAAAAAUAAGUCUUUGUACAUUCGUCAAACUCACCUUUAACAUAUACCAUGACUUCCACAUAUUGGCAGAAUGUAUGUAUUGAUGUGCAUGUUUAGAUUGUGUAUAAUCUCUGCAGUGACCAUGCUUUUAUAUUAUCAUUGUUUGUCAUUAAUAAUCUGUGCCUCUCGUCCUUUACAUUCCACAUUGUUAAAUCAUAUAUACCAUACAUAUCUUUGUUGUUUGCUCAGUUUGAGUUUAUGACUGUAGUCAUGGGAGAAGUGCCAGUUGUCAAAACAUAAAUGAAAAUAUUGAUAUACAACACAUUUGCUCGGUACAACAAUGAAAAUAAGUCAACUAAUAAAAAUUGGAUUAAAAAAAGUUUUCAUAAUAUGCAAUCACCUUUUCAGCAAUGCUGGCUUCAAUCUCUUAUAAGGGCCGUGUCUGAAUGAGAACUAUACUUGCUAUUUGAGAAGGUUUCUUGUUUCUUAGCUUUCUCCACAUUGCAAAAUACUACAGUUUACUAUAGAAUACUACAGUACUUACUAUAUUAUUCUGCAGUAAACUGUAGUAUACUGUAGAAUACUAUACUACACUGUAGUAUCCCACGAUCAUGAGUAGUACUUACUAUAGAAUGUUGUAGUAUACUGUAGAAUACUAUACUACACACUGUAGUAUCCCUCGAUCAUGUGUAGUAUUUACUGUAGAAUUUGGUAGCAUAGUGUAUAAUACUAUAGUAAAUACUACUGUAUUAUCCACAAAAAAAAUACUGUGGUUUUCACCAAUAUCCUCAAACACUACAGUCCUCAAAAACACUACAGUUUAACUAUAGUAAAUACUAAAGUAUUUAAUUGCAUAUACCCUUAGCAUUCCCCUCCCCAUAUCCCAAUUUGUGCCACUCAUAAGUGAGAAACCUACAUUCCAAGUAUAGACCAUAUAAUGUGUUCCCUUCAGGUUAUAGAGAAGAGCAGGAGCUCUGAACUAUCUGUUCAGACCCCAGUCGUACCUACAGGUUGUGGAAAAUUUGGCCUUUUAAUAUUUCUCUAGUAGGUUUACUCUAGGAGAAAUCCUCCAUUUCUAUGUCAUAGAUAAUAAAAGAAAAACACUAUAGUAAAUACUACAGUAAAUACUACAGUAUACUACAAUCUGCAAAAACACUACAUUAAUUACUAUAGUAUAUACACUAGUUAUUUUACUACAGUAUUUAUACUGUAGUUAACUGCAAAUACUACAGUGAAGUUGGCAAAAACACUAGUGAAUACUUUUAGUAUUCAUGCCAUAAUAUACUAUAGUAUUUUUUCAUGCGGGUUGUUGCAGGCGAAUACUGGGUCCAUUUUUCACACACUGUUCCUGGACUUACUGCAAAUAACAAACUGUUUCCAUGUCAAAGUGUGUGUUGCUACAUGCCAGGGUUAGAGAAGAUAUCAAUACACACUUCCUCUACAGUACAUACUGUCACUCUAAGGACAAUUUUUUUUGUGCUAUAGUAUUCAAACUAAUGCAGACCAAUAUCUAGUAUGUUUUCUACUCUUAGAAAUGUUGAUUGACAAAUCACCCAUUAAUUCAACGAGUACUUUUUUCAAAAGAGCCACAAAAAAUAAUCACAGCCUCUGAAUUUCUGUAGAAUGGUUUUAUACUGAACAAAAUAUAAAUGCAACAUGUAAAGUGUUCCAUGAGCUGAAAUAAAAUAUCCCAGAAAUGUUUCAUACGCACAAAAAGUGUGUUUCUCUCAAAAUGUGUGCACAAAUUUGUUUACAUCCCUGUUAGUGAGCAUUUCUCAUUUGCCAAGAUAAUCCAUCCACCUGACAGGUGUAACUUGUGGAGGAGACAAUAAAAGGCCACUCUAAAAUGUGCAGUUUUGUCAUAACACAAAAUAACACAGAUGUCUCAAGUUCUGAGGGAGCGUGCAAUUGGCAUGCUGACUACAGGAAAUUCCACCAGAGCUGUUGCCAGUGAAUUAAAUAAGCCGCAUCAAGUCGGCUUAUUUAAGCCGCAUCAAAUCGUUUUAGAAAAUUUGGCAGUACAUCCAACCGGCCUCACAACCUCAGACCAUGUGUAACCACGCCAGCCUAGGACCUCCACAUCUGGCUUCUUCACCUGCGAGAUUGUCUGAGACCAGUAACCUGGACAGCUGAUGAAACUGAUGAGUAUUUCUGUCUAUAAUAAAUCCCUUUUGUGCGAAAAAAAAACAUAUUCUGAUUGGCUGGGCCUGGCUCCCCAGUGGGUGGGUCUAUGCCCUCCCAGGCCCACCCAUGGCUGCUCCCCUGCCCAGUCAUGUGAAAUCCAUAGAUGUGCGCCUAAUAAAUGUAUUUCAGUUGACUGAUUUCCUUUUAUGAACUUGUAACUCAGUAUAUUAGUUGAAAUUGUUGCAUGUUGCGUUUAUUUUUGUUCAAUAUAGAAGGUAAGCAGUUCACAACAAAAAAAACAAAUAAAAUGAAAACUGGGAGGUAUUUUUUUUCACAAAAUGUUAAAUUUACAAAUCUACAGGAUAAAGGUAAAAGAGCUUUCUAUUGGCAGCAGAAAAAAAACAUUGAUAAUGCAACACCAAGAUGUAAAAUACACUAUCAAAACAGAACAGUUUUAAAAUAGGGGUCUCCCGAUGAAGCCACUUCUGUGCUUCUGUUACUCAUGCAAAAGCAUUGGGUUUUUAAACUUGUUUAGUUUCCUUAUAAGUCUCCUUCAUGACCAAUGCUUUUCUCCACCUUGUUUUGCCCAUCCUCAUGAUGUUUGCCUUUAGGCACAGUAAGAAGUCAACUGCAAAGACAGUCACGCAGUUCCUCUGAGCACCAAAGUCCAAUGCUCUAGGCGGUCAUGCCUCAUUAAUCUCAUGAGACUGCACUGCCGUACUGUACUGCUUCAAAAAUAUAAAUAUAGAUUUAUCUAAAGCCCAACCUUAUCAAGGGCCUUUUUUUUAUCCAACUUCUCCAUCCU